rnacentral:rRNA from 1 species
UACGAACUGUGCAAACGUUAUUCGGAAUCACUGGGCGUAAAGGGCGCGUAGGUGGUUGGGUAAGUUUGAUGUGAAAUCUCCGGGCUUAACCCGGAAACUGCAUUGAAUACUAUCUGGCUAGAGGGUUGGAGGGGGGACUGGAAUACUUGGUGUAGCAGUGAAAUGCGUAGAUAUCAAGUGGAGCACCAGUGGCGAAGGCGAGUCCCUGGACAACUCCUGACACUGAGGCACGAAAGCUAGGGGAGCAAACAGG